rnacentral:rRNA from 1 species
UACCUGCAGCUCUAGUGGUGACCGCUAUUAUUGGGCCUAAAACGUCCGUAGCCGGUUUAGUAAAUGCCUGGGUAAAUCGUGUAGCUUAACUAUACGAAUUCUGGGUAGACUGCUAAACUUGAGACCGGGAGAGGCUAGAGGUACUCUUGGGGUAGAGGUGAAAUUCUGUAAUCCUGGGGGGACCACCAGUGGCGAAGGCGUCUAGCUAGAACGGGUCUGACGGUGAGGGACGAAGCCCUGGGGCACAAACCGGAUUAGAUACCCGGGUAGUCCAGGGUGUAAACGCUGCUUGCUUGAUGCUAGUUGAGCUCCGAGCCCAACUAGUGUCGGAGAUAAGUUGUUAAGCAAGCUGCCUGGGAAGUACGGUCGCAAGGCUGAAACUUAAAGGAAUUGGCGGGGGAGCACAGCAACGGGUGGAGCGUGCGGUUU